UGAAAAGACCUUUAACAGUGAAUUACUUAAAUGUGGAGUGCAACAGUUUUUCUUAAACGGUGGCUCGAUGACGCACCGAGGCCACCCUGAGCAUAACCCCGCCCACCUAGCACUGUAACCUAUAAAAAGCCGAUGACGGAGCCGCCAACACCACCCGCCUCUGCUGUAACCUGUUUUUUUUUUUUUACCACCAACCAUCUCCCUCCGUCUUCAUCCUCCCAUCCCGCCAAAUGAUGUUUUAAUCUGUGCUAAAAACAACUGACUUGGAGAGUGAUGACAUCCACUACUGCUGAUCAAGAAGGUGCACUCUUUACUUGUCCACCAGGUGCCCUUUCCUUUAUGCUUGGGGGAACUGGCUGAGUUCGCCCACCUGGUGACAUCACAGGCUGAGAACUCCAGGAUGUUUUGAUCUGUGCUAAAAACAACUGACUUGGAGAGUGAUGUCAUCCACUACUGCUGAUCAGAUGUUUUGAUCUGUGCUAGAAACAACUGACUUGGAGAGUGAUGUCAUCCACUACUGCUGAUCAGUAAGUAAGGUUCAGCCUCAUUAUGGACAGAGUGAUUGGGACCAAAGAGCCAAUUUGUAAUGAUCAAAGAGAAUACAUUCCUGUUAUCCUCAUUUGUAUAUUUGUUGUAUUAUUAGUUAAGUUAACUGGAUGAUUAGAAUGUAAUCAUGUAGUUAUUGCAAAUAAUGUUAAGUAGAAGUAUAGUUUAUUUGCAUUGAAGCUUAGAAAU